GCUCGGGGUCGUCUGAGCAUUCAUUCUCUCCCUAUGUCCAUUUCCCAUGAAAUGGCAGCUGCAGUAGCUUGACCCACUGAAAAAAGUGCUUAUUAGCUAUGACCACUGGUUUAAAAAAAAUACAGAAAAAACAGGAUGACAAAACAAGAUGUUAAGAUUGAAAGAAAGAAUACAUCAAGGCAACUGAUUUAUAGUAUAAUGUUUUUUAAAAAAAAUGAAAUAUUGAAACACCAGCCAGGUUCUAAUCACCAGACUCCUUAAAAUGCUCUAAUCUGGCAUCUAUUUUAAUCCGUGUAAAUUAGUAUCUCUUGUGCCUUCCUGUUCGACAUGACAGGCAGUAGCAACAGAUGAUUAAGUUUGCAUUUACAUUAAUUAAACCUAAAUAAAUAAACCUAAAUAAAACCUUAAAAUACUUUAAAUUCUAAUUUAAAAUAAUUAAACCUAGAAACAGUAUUAAAAAUAUUGUUCCUCAGAUGUGCUAGCUUAACCUUUUAAAUGCUCAGGUAUAGUACUGCACCAGACAACAUAGAUUAUAUUUUCUUUUUUAGAUAGCACUUUACUAUAUAGCGCAGGCUGAGCUGGAUUCUCUGAGAUGAGCCUCUCAGGUGCAGCAUGAGGAUUCAGAUAUAGAACUCUCCACUACUCCCUUUUCCCCCUCUCUGCCUCCACCCCACUACCACCACUGUCAUGACAUGGAUCAAACUCUGAGCUUUCAAACUCAGGAGUAGAAAAGGAAUCUCCAUCUGAGAUACAUGUCUAUUUUAAUUAUCAUAGGAAGUUCAACUGGCUAGCACCGGGAAAAGAAAAUAGAGUGCAUUGUUUUCAAAUAGCUUCAGGCAAUAAUACCAGUCAAGCAAGGGAACUAUCUAUAUUACAUAUAGUUCUAGGUAAAGAAAGCAAGCAUUGUAUGGGCUGGGAGCACAGUUCAGUCAGGAUAAUGCUAACAAUAUAACACAAACAUGAGAAACUGAGCUCGCAGUGUGAAAAGGUGUGCUUGUAACCCCAGCAUUAAGAAGGAGGAGACAGGAAAUCCUGGGGCUUGCUAGCAAGCCAGUCUAACCUACUUGAGAGCUCCGAGCCAAUGAAAGAAAAAUCUAGUUCUUCCUCAAAUGAGUGGAUGUCUCCUAUGGAAGAACACUUGAAGCUGACCCCUGGCUUUUACAUGUUCCUGUGUACAUGCGCGUAUGCACGCGUGCGCACACACACACACACACACACACACACACACACACACACACUUACUCUAUACUUUUCUUUACUUAUGCUUAUUUUCGUGACACUCCAUUCUCCAAGCAACUCUUCUCUUGGCAUUUCCUGUUGAUAUUCCAAUGGGAAAAAAUAUUUCAAUGUGUUUCCCCUUUAGGAUAGUUUUUGUUUUUUAAAACAGGAAAGUGUCAUUUUAUGUUAAGCAAGAUUCAGUUUAUUUCUAUGAAUAAUUUGUAAAAAUAUCUCAGAAACAAUCUCAACCAUUCCUGGUGUGUGGGGUGGGUAUUAUACUCAGUUGAGACACCUGCAUUUCAAAGGUGUUUUAGACAUAUUAUUCCAUACAAUAAUUUAGAUAUUCUCUGCACAUUCCAGGGAAUGUAAAUAAAUGGAACCUGUUCUGGUUCCUGGAAUUAUGCUCAAGAUUCCACAAGUUGAUGCAUCCACAAAUGAACAAAGAACGUGGAUUUGGUAACCAUAGGGACAAAUGUGACACAUUGCAGUGAGUAUAUACUAACUAAUAAAUAUUUGGAGCAUUUGGAGUUUGCAUGACAAAUGGGUAAGUCAUUCUCAGUAUUUGGAAACUGUAUCAACAUUUGAAAAUUAUCUCUAAGAAUUGUUAAGGUAACACUACCAAUAUUGUUAUCCCUUCAGCUUAUUCUGGGUCCUCCUCUCCUGGGAAAAUGACAUACAUUGCAUCAUUAUUAUGAAAAACACAAUUACAUCUAGGCAGGAAGUCAUUUUUAUUUUUUAUCUCAAGAACUUAUUUAUAUUGCAAUGUGUAAUUAAGCUGCCAAAUAUUACAACCUGCUAUGAAUUAUAACUUGAAAUUAUAUUUACUUUUUCUUGUAGAUAGGAAAUAGGUAAUUGAGAUAAAGGCUGGCAAGGUAGCUCCGUGGAUAAAAAGCCUUCCCAUGAAAGCCUGGUGACAUGGUUUGGUCCCUGCUACCCUGAUAGAAGAAGUUGACCAUUGAUCGCUACAGUCAACACAGUCGGAGUGAUCUUAUUUCCUAUAAGCAAUGUCCUCAAAUAGUAGAAAAUGGAUACAAUGUUGGAAAGUGAGUCCUCAGUGCAAAUAAGGAAGUCACUAAUGUUCCACAGAGUUUCCAGUGGCUUGCAAUUCAUACUCUGCCAUGAGACGAUCAGUGCACAACCAUCCAAGCAUUUACAGGUUUUUCAUCCAAACAGGACUUCCAGUGGAAAGAUGAGAAUGUCAACCCACCCAUAAAACCUUCAACCCCAAAAUUUUUCUUCCUAUAAGAUGUGCAGGCAUAAAGAUGAGGAGAGACUGAGGGAGUGGCUCACCAAUUGACUGUCCCAACUUGAGGCCCAUCCCAUGUGACAGACACUUUUAAUGAUACUCUGUUAUGUCUGCAGAUAGGAAUCUAGCAUAACUGUCUCCUGAGAGGCUUCAUCCAGCAGCACAUGGAAGCAGAUACAGAGACCUAUAGACAAGCAUCAAGCAGAACACAGGGAUUCUUGUGAAGGAGUAGGGGAAAAAUUGAGUGAGACAGAGGAUUUAAGAACACCACAGGAAGAGCUACAAAGUCAACCAAUCUGGGUCCAUGGGAACUCUGAAACUGAAUCACCAACUGAGGAGCAUGAAGGGGCCGGACCUAGAAAUUCCUACACAUUUGUACCUUGGUCUUCAUGUGGAUACCCUAACAAUAGGAGUAGGGGUUGUAUUUUCCUUUGUUGCCUCUCAUUGGAUCCCUUUCCCCUAGCUGGACUGCCUAGUUGAGCCUUAGUGGGAGAGGAGGUGCUUAGUCCUGUUGCAACUAGAUGUCCCAGGGCUUUCUCUUCUCUUAGGACAGGAGGAGAUGUAAUGGAGGAGGGUUCAUGGGGGCAGAACUUGGAGGUGAGGCAGAAAAGGAAGCUUCAAUUGGGAUAUAAUGGGAAAAAAUAAAACUCAGAAUUCUA
rnacentral:sRNA from 1 species